rnacentral:rRNA from 1 species
GACGAACGCUGGCGGCGCGCCUAACACGUGCAAGUCGAACGAGCGAGCGAGAGCUUGCUUUCUCGAGCGAGUGGCGAACGGGUGAGUAACGCGUGAGGAACCUGCCUCAAAGAGGGGGACAACAGUUGGAAACGACUGCUAAUACCGCAUAAGCCCACGGUGCCGCAUGGCACAGAGGGAAAAGGAGCAAUCCGCUUUGAGAUGGCCUCGCGUCCGAUUAGCUAGUUGGUGAGGUAAUGGCCCACCAAGGCGACGAUCGGUAGCCGGACUGAGAGGUUGAACGGCCACAUUGGGACUGAGACACGGCCCAGACUCCUACGGGAGGCAGCAGUGGGGAAUAUUGCACAAUGGGGGAAACCCUGAUGCAGCGACGCCGCGUGGAGGAAGAAGGUCUUCGGAUUGUAAACUCCUGUUGUUGGGGAAGAUAAUGACGGUACCCAACAAGGAAGAGACGGCUAACUACGUG